rnacentral:rRNA from 1 species
AUGGAGAGUGUUGAAGUCACCGCUGCAAGUGGGAGCUCCGGGAGAGCUGGGAUCAUUGUAUGGACCAAUUCGAUGACGAAAACCAUGCUUGGUUUUUUGGCUGGUCUUGUUGCUGAUGGGAAGAGAACUUCAAGUGGAUUCAGGGAUGUGCAUCAUAGACAAUGUGCUGCUGUUUUGAACGAGCAAUUCAAGCUUUCUGUCAUCGGAGAUCAAGUCAAAAACCAUCUCAAGAAGUGGAGGAAGAUAUGGGGAAGGGUAGCCAACUUGAAGAAUUUAAGUGGAGCUCUAUGGGAUGAAGACACUUGCACAAUUAGGCUCAGCGAGGAGCACUAUGCAGGGCAUUGUAUGACCCACAAAGCUGAUGCCCCCUUCUUGAAUACACCAAUUGAACACUAUCAUGCCAUGGCUUCCAUUUAUGGGACAAUGGGGGCCAAGGGGCAGAAUGCUAGGUCUGGCAACGAUCUUCUUUCUAUUGAUCUCGAAGACGAGGAGAAUGGUGAGGUGAACACGUCACCAAAUGUUGGUGAGUCUUGUGACCCCAAAGCACCACCCAAAAAGAAGGCUAAGAUAAAGCACGUUGUUGAGGAUCCACUAGUUAUCACUCUCAAAGAUGGGUUCAAACUUGUGGCUGAAGCGCUUGUGAAGUCUAGUAGAGAUGAUGAUGACAUACCCGAUGACCUUUGGGAUGUAAUAUCAACACUGCUAGAUUUUCAAGAAGAGCACCUAGCCCACUACUAUGCUCAUCUUGUGGACAACCCCAAGACUGCAAGAGCCUUCAUGAAACUUACCCAAAUCAACGAGUCUGUUUGGGUGAGUAGGUAUGUCAAGAAGAACUUCUAA